GUUGUUGUUACCUUGACGACUCUUCUCCUCCUGAACCUGGCGGGCUUGUGUCAGUUAUCAAUCAAACAAGAGGCCGUUGGUCAUUUUCAGCUGAAACCCAAAACAUGGAGCGGCUUGUUUCAACUGUGAAGUGUCUUACUGAACACCUGCUGCAGAAACAUCUGACAGAUUAUGAAGAGGUGAUACAGAAACUUUUCUCUGAAGUCUCUGGUCUGGAAGAAUUCCCCAAAAUAUCAGAUCCACAGCUUGAGGAGUGUGCCAUCCAGCUGUGGAACUGGGCAGUCACUAAGAAUGUGGGCACAAUUAUAAGUAAACACCAGAAAGCCAAAGUGCGUCACGUUGCAUGCAGUCUGCUGUACUGCAGUGAGCCUGAGCAGCCGACAGAGGGCGUCCUCCGCAAGCAAAUCCUGAUGGCCAGCAAAACAGGGAGAACCUGGUUGGACUGCAAAAAUCCCCAGAUGGCAGAUUACUUCUUAAGACUUGCUGUCAAGAGUCUGGAAACACUCUAUAGCCAACUAACGUCCAGAGGUGACGGCGCAGCUGACAUCACUUCAUCCAAGGGCGAUGUAGAGAAGGAUCUGCUUCGAAUUCUCUCGUGUCAGGCGGAAUCGGCCAUAAGUCAAGGCAACAACCAUGAGGCUGUGGCCCAUGUGCAGCGCUGUAGAGACAUGCUGCUUCGCCUACCAAAAGACACUGCAUAUCUUUCCCUAAUGUGCUACAACUUUGGAGUAGACACUUACAAUGUGAAGAAGUUUGAGGACAGCGCAUUUUGGCUCAGCCAAAGUUAUGACAUUGGGAAAAUGAAUGAGAGAUACGCUCCUGGAUCUGAAGUCCAGGCCAAGGUUUUGAGGCUCCUUGCCACUGUUUAUUUAGAAUGGGACUGUGAGAGGUUUCAGGAGAAGGCUCUCAACGCUGUCAGCUUAGCUAACAAGGAAUAUGUGAGUGCAUCUGGGCUGUACUUAAAGAUCAGAAUACUCCUGAGAUGUCGGGCCUCAGACGAUCACAUCAGAGCAGGACUUAAUGAGAUGCUGGAAGCUAAGAUUUCUCUUGAAAUGUGUCUGAGCACAGUGAACAUACUCAUGUCUGCAGACAGAGAAGUGCUGGCAUUUGAGUAUUUGAAACGCGUGUGUCAGCACUUUGAGUCGUCCCCUGACCUGGGAACUGCUCUCGUCUUGCACGUUGAGCUGCUGCUGCAGAAAGGCAAGGAGCUGCUGGGCAAACAGAAGAUAGACGAUAUCAUCACUGGCCAUUACACCGGAAAACAGCUGACUCCACAGGCCCUCACAUGUCUACAUGUCAUGCUGUGGGAUAAAGCCUCCAAACACUUUGAGGCCACGGACUAUUCUGAAGCUCUUCAGUGGUAUAACUACUCCCUGAGUUUCUUUAAGGCCGGUCAAAUGGAGCCCAACUACGCCAAACUGCAGAGGAACAGAGCUUCCUGUUUCCUGCAACUUAAACAGCUGGAAAAAGUGAGACAACUUGAGCCACAACAGCAAGCCAAAGAAGCAAUUAAAGAAGCAGAGAGAUGUGACCCUGAGAGCAUUUUCACUCAGUUCAGUGUUUACAAGAUUGCAGUGCUGGAGAACAAUGUGGAGAAAGCUGCAGAUGCAGUGAAUGCGAUGGGACGUCUGUCCAAGAGUCCUGUGGGCGAUGAGGACGGACUGCUGGUGUCUGAGAACGCUGCGUCCAAUCUCCUCAGGCUGGCAGCUCAGAUUGCUUUAGAGAACAAACAGCAGGAAACUGCCAUGAAGGCACUGGAGAGUCUGUGUGAAAACUCCAAAGAUGAAGCUCAGGUCCUGACUGCUCUCAGGUGUUUGAUUCGACUUGUGCUCUCCACAAUGGAACAACCGAGUGAUGAGAUGAGGAAUGUGAAUAUGGAUGUCCUGCUGCCAUAUCUAAAAAUGGCUCAGCGGAAAGUUUCACACCAGACUUGCUUGACUGCUGAGCAACGAACAGAAGAAGCUAACUGGUUCAGGAAGAUUGCAUGGAACUCGGCGCUGCAGUGCGAGAGCUGCCCUGACAGAAUGAGGGAUUUCUUCGUGCUCUCAUACCAGCUCUCCCAGCUGUGCCCCCCUGAUCGCACACUGCUCAUGGGCCAGAAGACGUGUCUGCUCAUGGCUGCCGCUGCCUGUUUGGAGCUCUGCAGGAAGUCUCUUCUCACUGACCAGACUGAGGAGCUCACUCAGGCACUGGAGCACAUUCAGACCUGCUGGGAGGUCUGGAAAACCCUGAAAGCAUCGGGAAACUUCCCAACGGACCCAACAGACACACUGCUGCUGCUGUAUGAAUUUGAAGCUCGUGCUAAGCUGAAUGACCCGAAGGUUGAGACGGUACUGGAGUCAGUGUUGGAUCUUGAAAAUGUUGAAACCAAAGUGCUAGAGACCAUUGCAGCCUUGGCCAUGGAGCCUCCAGCCCACUUCCCUCUGCUGAGCAAGAAGGCCUUGAGGGUCGCUCUCUCUCUGCACAAGAAACAACCACAGGCGGACCUGGACCGCUGCAGGCAUACCCCAUGUGCGUUCACAGCCUUAUCAAGCUGUCCCUCCCGAGUGGCGUAUCAGAGGUGGAGGCCCAUGUGCUCGAGGAGGUGUGGGACUACUACGAGGAGGCCCUGUCCAUCAUCGCAGCCGCACCGGACGACUUCCCAGAGAUGGAGACCCUGUGGUUGCUGACUCGGGCUUGGAACACAGGGAUACUGCUGUACAGCCUGGCUCAGUACCCCGAGGCUGAGAAGUGGUGCGGCCUCGCCAUGAGCUUCAUCCGCCACCUUGGAUCCCUGCAGGAGAGCUAUGAGACACAGAUGUCUGGACUCUACAGUGAAAUCCUGGACAGGUUGGACAAAGCCAAGAAGAACAUCAUCAUGGAAGAAUGACUCAACCGGGACGUUAACUUCCUGUUCUAAACACUCAGUUUGUUGCAGCUUGAUGUUUUUAACAUAGUAAAAUGUUCCAUCAAAUGCUCCAUUUUGACAAUUUGUUGCUUUAAGUGUGUUUAAUUGUGGGAUGUCCCAGUAGACAAGUAGUUAAAACACAUGCCACAUUUGUUCCUAGUUUGGUUUUGGCCUGAGACUUUGUUGCGUUUUCCCUCCAUCUCCCUCUCUAAUCCCACGUUUCCUGUCCUCUACGGAACCUGAGCUCUAAAAAAAAUAAAUAAAUAAAAAAAAAUGC